GCGGCGGUAAUUCAGUUGGAAGAAUGCGACCUUGCCAAGGUCGAUGUCGAGGGUUCGAACCCCUUCCGCCGCU
rnacentral:tRNA from 1 species